rnacentral:tRNA from 1 species
CCCCCGGUAGCUCAGUGGAUGGAGCAACCGCUUGACGGACGGUAGGUCGCCGGUUCAAAUCCGGCCCGGGGGA